rnacentral:rRNA from 1 species
ACUCCUACGGGAGGCAGCAGUGGGGAAUUUUGGACAAUGGGGGCAACCCUGAUCCAGCCAUGCCGCGUGCGGGAAGAAGGCCUUCGGGUUGUAAACCGCUUUUAGUCGGGAAGAAAGGGUUCUCCCUAAUAGGGAGGAUUUUUGACGGUACCGGCGGAAUAAGCACCGGCUAACUACGUGCCAGCAGCCGCGGUAAUACGUAGGGUGCGAGCGUUAAUCGGAAUUACUGGGCGUAAAGCGUGCGCAGGCGGUUCUCCAAGUCCGUUGUGAAAGCCCCGGGCUCAACCUGGGAAUGGCAGUGGAAACUAGGGGACUGGAAUCUGGCAGAGGGGGGUGGAAUGCCGCGUGUAGCAGUGAAAUGCGUAGAGAUGCGGCGGAACACCGAUGGCGAAGGCAGCCCCCUGGGCUGAGAUUGACGCUCAGGCACGAAAGCGUGGGGAGCAAACAGGAUUAGAUACCCUGGUAGUCCACGCCCUAAACGAUGGCAACUAGGUGUUGGGGAAGCGAUUUCCUGGUACCGCAGCUAACGCGUGAAGUUGCCCGCCUGGGGAGUACGGUCGCAAGAUUAAAACUUAAAGGAAUUGACGG